rnacentral:rRNA from 1 species
UACGUAGGUGGCAAGCGUUGUCCGGAUUUACUGGGCGUAAAGAGCGCGCAGGCGGUCGUUCAAGUCGCGUGUGAAAGCCCCCGGCUCAACUGGGGAGGGUCACGCGAUACUGAUCGACUCGAAGGCAGGAGAGGGUAGUGGAAUUCCCGGUGUAGUGGUGAAAUGCGUUGAUAUCAUCAGGAACACCGGAGGCGAAGGCGGCUCACUGGGGCUUAUCUGACGCUGAGGAACGAAAGCCAGGGGAGCGAACGGG